rnacentral:rRNA from 1 species
UACGAAGGGGGCUAGCGUUGCUCGGAAUGACUGGGCGUAAAGGGCGCGUAGGCGGCACGGACAGUCAGGCGUGAAAUUCCUGGGCUUAACCUGGGGGCUGCGUUUGAUACGUCCGAGCUAGAGGAUGGAAGAGGCUCGUGGAAUUCCCAGUGUAGAGGUGAAAUUCGUAGAGAUCCGGAGGAACACCAGUGGCGAAGGCGACACGCUGGGCCGUACCUGACACUGAUGCGCGACAGCAUGGGGAGCAAACAGG